GGUCUGAUGGUCUAGCGGUAUGAUUCUCGCUUAGGGUACACCCUGAAUACUGAAAGCCUUCGGCUUGCGAGAGGUCCCGGGUUCAAUCCCCGGUCAGACCC
rnacentral:tRNA from 1 species